CUCCCAGGAUGUGGCCCACCGUGAUCUGAAGUGCUUCUGCUGUCCCCCGGCACCUGGGCACCACCACAGACUGCAAAACAUAGGCUCAGCAGGGAGGCACCCCAAGUGAGGGCACCCUUGCCUGCUGUUCCCUACCUGCCAAAGACCUGCCUGGAGGAGUGACAGGCCAUUCAGGGGUGGUACGGAGGGUUCAGUCCUCUCAGGAACCUCAAGGCCCCUGGGGCAGAGAUCAAAGGCAGCCUUGCUGGAGAAGCCCCCACAACUCCACGGACGAGGCUGAGAACAUUAAGAAGAUGAACUCUGGGCCAGGCGCGGUGGCUCACACCUGUAAUGCCAGCACUUUGGGAGGCCGAGGCAGGUGGAUCACCUGAGGUCAGGAGGUCAAGACCAGCCUGGCAACAUGGUGAAACCCUGUCUCUACUAAAAAUACAAAAACUAGCCGGGCGUGAUGGCACAUGCCUGUAAUCCCAGCUACUACUCGGGAGGCAGAGGCAGGAGAAUUGCUUGAACACGGGAGGCAGAGGGUGCAGUGAGCCGAGAUCGUACCAUUGCAAUCCAACCUGGGCAACGAGCAAAAUCCCAUCUCAAAAAAAAAAAAAAAAAAAAAAAAAGAACCCUGGAGUCAGACUCUCGGGUUCCGAUCCAGAUCCCCACUCGCUAGCUGUGUGACUUUGAGCAAGCUGCUUCACCUUUCUUCCCUCAGUCUCUCCAUCCCCAAAUGGGGGUAAUAAUCAGACCGAUCUUGAGAGUUUCACUCAUUAUCAUUAUUCAUCUGCUAUCUGGAGGCUUUGUGUGGACAUCAGACCAAAAUAACGCUCUGAGACAGAAUGCUCCAGGCACUUGAACUCGGCUGCGCCUUCUGCCUGGCAUGCCUUCCACUCUCUGGUCCAGCUGAAGCAUCUCUAUUUCUCAUUUAGGACUUACAUUUGGGUCACCUCCUCUGUGAAGCCCUCUCAGAGUGCAGGUACCUGUCCUGAGCUCCUGCAACUCCUAUGCACACCCCUAAUUAACGCAUGUCCCCCAGAACUGGGAAGGGCCCUUUCUCUGUCCACCGCCCCUUAUUCCCUAUGGUGUGUGGGCAACAAAGACCCUUAAUUUCUCUUGGGGUCCCUGCAAGAUACCAGGCACAGAGGGGACUAGCUGAAAGUUUGCCAACCAAAUAACUCAAGUAGGUCCGUCUGGGAGACUAUUCCCAGGAGAAAGUCUGCCAGAACCCAGGGCUACAGCAGGGGAUGGAAGGAGGGGGGCGGGGGGGACUCAAGCAGAAACCACAUGGUCACAUGAACCCAAUUGGACAGCCACAGGGGCGCUUACACCCUGGAGCCUUAUCCCCAAGACCUAGGUAUCCAUGAUCUGAGGCCAUGAGUUAAUCAAUAUUAGCUGGGCACAGUGGCUCACGCCUGUAAUCCCAGUACUUUGGGAGACUGAGGCGGGUGGAUCACUUGAGGUCAGGAGUUCAAGACCAGCCUGGCCAACAUGGCGAAACCCCAUCUCUACUAAAAAUACAGAAAUUAGCUGGGUGUGGUGGCGGGUGCCUAUAAUCCCAGCUACUCAGGAGGCUGAGGCAGGAGAAUCGCUUGAACCCGGGAGGUGGAGGUUCUAGUGAGCCGAGGUGGUACCACUAUACUCCAGCCUGAGUGAAAGAGCAAGAUCCUAUCUAAAAAAUAAUAAUAAAAUAAUUGCCAACACCUA